GCUCCAGAAGCGCAACGGUCUCCCCUGGCCUCCGGAGCCGUGUGCGCAGGUUCGAAUCCUGCCGGGGGCA
rnacentral:tRNA from 1 species